AGAUUGAACGCUAGCGGGAUGCUUUACACAUGCAAGUCGAACGGCAGCGCGGACUUCGGUCUGGCGGCGAGGGGCGAACGGGUGAGUAAUAUAUCGGAACGUGCCCAGUAGCGGGGGAUAACUACGCGAAAGCGUGGCUAAUACCGCAUACGCCCUACGGGGGAAAGGGGGGGAUUCUUCGGAACCUCUCACUAUUGGAGCGGCCGAUAUCAGAUUAGCUAGUUGGUGAGGUAAAGGCUCACCAAGGCGACGAUCUGUAGCUGGUUUGAGAGGACGACCAGCCACACUGGGACUGAGACACGGCCCAGACUCCUACGGGAGCAGCAGUGGGGAAUUUUGGACAAUGGGGGAAACCCUGAUCAGCCAUCCGCGUGUGCGAUGAAGGCCUGGUGUAAGACACUUG
rnacentral:rRNA from 1 species